GCUGGUAAACCUUUUGCUAUCCAAGUGUGAGCACCCAUGUUUGGAUGCCCCAAACCAAACCAGAAGCUGAGCAUGCUGGUGUGAGUUGUAAUUGCUGCACUGCUGUGGUGAGAUGGGAGUGGAGACAAGAGAGUAACCAAAACACGUACAGGGAGCAGUAAGAACAGUUUGUCCCAAACAAGGUAGAAGGCAAAGACUGACACCUGAGAGGUUGUCCUCUGGCCUACAUGCACACACUAUGGCUCACAUAUACACACACCACACACACACUCAUGCAUGUGAAAAGAACACACACAUACAUGUGCAUACGUCCUGUGCACACCUACACAUGUGCACAAAAUUAAAAGAAAGAAGUUUGAAUUUGAGGUUGGGGAGGGAAGGGGCUGUCAUUUCCAAUGAGAACCAAUGGAUUUGGAGUUGGCCAGGGCAGUCACUGAACAAGUCACGGCAAGCUGUCUGACACUGAUACAUUGUGUAGGAAGGCUGACAUUUCGAAAGAAGCCGUUCUGUUUCAUCAGGACAAAGUCUGUGUGGCGCUGCCAGCUAAUGCAAACCCAGGCAAUGUUUUCCAUUCCACUGAUGACUCAGCUCUGUGACCUUGUGAGAGGGACAAGAGAGGCAGAAGCCACUCUAGGCAAAUCAGGACAUGGGCCACUUCCCCCACUUCUUUCAUAUGAGUCAGAAACAGAGAGAGAGAGAUUGAAUAUUUAUGCCUAGGUGUUCUCAUAAAACAUGCAUGAAAGCAAGCAAGAGCGGCAUUUCAUGUAGAAUGCAAAGGAUUUGGCACUUACAGCUGAAAGUGUACGAUAUCCCAGGAUGGGACAGAAACGAGCUGCUGAUUGUGACAGGCAGCAAGUCCGUGUCCACCUCUACCUGAAGACCUGGCCGAUGGCUUCAAAGAGGAUGUUGGGAAUAUUUCCUACGGCAUGGAAUAAUUAACCUGAUUCACAGGCUUCUAACAGCAUCUGCAGGCUCAGAGGGCAAGCCAUCAAUCAAGCACAACAGGACGCUAGUAAACCACGAGUAAAGCUCCUGUAAUUGCUGUAAGGAAAGAAGAUACUUUGACUGAGGAAUGUCCAACGCCAGCCGCUCAGACUACCUAACUAACCCUGCAGAGAACCCUGUGCAGAGGAGUGAGGGUAAGCGCGCCCAAUAGGACUUACACUGACUGGCAUCUGUGGCUCCACCAUUUUUCUUUU